AACGAACGCUGGCGGCAGGCUUAACACAUGCAAGUCUAACGCAUGCCUUCGGGCAUGAGUGGCAGACGGGUGAGUAACGCGUGGGAACCUACCCCUUGGUACGGGAUAGCUCCGGGAAACUGGAGAUAAUACCGUAUGUGUCCUGAGGGACAAAGAUUCAUCGCCAAGGGAUGGGCCCGCGUCGGAUUAGCUAGUUGGUGGGGUAACGGCCUACCAAGGCGACGAUCCGUAGCUGGUCUAAGAGGAUGAUCAGCCACAUUGGGACUGAGACACGGCCCAAACUCCUACGGGAGGCAGCAGUGGGGAAUAUUGGACAAUGGGCGCAAGCCUGAUCCAGCCAUGCCGCGUGAGUGAUGAAGGCCCUAGGGUUGUAAAGCUCUUUCACCGGUGACGAUAAUGACGGUAACCGGAGAAGAAGCCCCGGCUAACUUCGUG
rnacentral:rRNA from 1 species